UACACUAGCUGGGGCUGUUCCCUAAACAACGUCCGACUGAAUUAUGUCACUUAUACCAAUUGAUCCCCUGGACAGCCUAAUAAUGCUUUGCCAGUAGAAGCAUGUGUUCUGAUUGCUGGAUCUGCUAAAUGGUUUGAUUUAUUGUGUACAUAUUUGAGAGCCUUCAUAUGCUACAAUGCUCCACGAGUGAGGAGACAGAUGGUGAGACUGCAGGUGAAGUCUGAUGGCAGUGUGUUUGAUCCUAAUAUACAGUCGUAUAUUUUAGAGCAGAUAAAGCAAACACUUGAAGAAAAGGGCCUGUUGGAAACCAUCACAUUGACUUGGAGGAUGCAGCAAGAUGGAAACAUCUUUUACAAGAAAAGACAGGCUCUCAUUCCAGACAAUGAAUGCUUCAAAAUGCUCCAUGAGGAUUUCA